UAGGGAAUCUUCGGCAAUGGACGAAAGUCUGACCGAGCAACGCCGCGUGCGUGAAGAAGGUUUUCGGAUCGUAAAACUCUGUUGUUAGAGAAGAACAAGGACGUUAGUAACUGAACGUCCCCUGACGGUAUCUAACCAGAAAGCCACGGCUAACUACGUGCCAGCAGCCGCGGUAAUACGUAGGUGGCAAGCGUUGUCCGGAUUUAUUGGGCGUAAAGCGAGCGCAGGCGGUUUCUUAAGUCUGAUGUGAAAGCCCCCGGCUCAACCGGGGAGGGUCAUUGGAAACUGGGAGACUUGAGUGCAGAAGAGGGGAGUGGAAUUCCAUGUGUAGCGGUGAAAUGCGUAGAUAUAUGGAGGAACACCAGUGGCGAAGGCGGCUCUCUGGUCUGUAACUGACGCUGAGGCACGAAAGCGUGGGGAGCAAACAGG
rnacentral:rRNA from 1 species